UCGGGGAGGGGGAGCCGCGCAGGCUGGUGCGCCGCGCCCCCGGGCAAAGAGCCGCCCCCGGCUGCAGGCCCGCCGCGGGCAGAGCGACAGAGGCCUGCAGGGGAAGCCCCCAGUUUCCCACCACUUUAGCGCUGUUCGCUCCAGAGGGGGAAAAGUGAUGUUAGCCUUUAAAGGCGCUGGAAACAAGUUGUCAUCAGCCUUGGUUGGACAUUUCCUGCAGCUGUAAUAAAGCAAAAUGAAUUAAUUUCAUUCCUGAUAUGUUGCCAGACAUAAGGAGAUUGUUUAAAAAAAGAUUUAGGGCCAAGUUCAUUCCUAGUGUCCAAUCACUGACUCCCAAUUGUUUUUCUGUUGAGGCAUUUUACUGAACAUUUUUCUGUGAAUCCACAAAAAUGUGAUAUUGUGAAAGUAAGCUUGAGUAUAGAAUCAGUUGCCUUCUAGAAUGUUUACUUAUAGAAGAAUUGAAAAGGACACACAUCAUAUUGAUAUUCUUGAAAAGGACACACAUCAUAUUGAUAUUCCUAAUUUCCAAUAUAUAUGAACUCUAUAAAACCACCAUUUGGGAUAGUCCUGCCACUCUCAAUAAAAUAAAAAUAAAACAUUG